rnacentral:lncRNA from 1 species
GCAGAAGUUAACUGAAAGUGAAACUGAAAAUGAUGGUCUCAGAAAAGAAACACUUGAAACAGAGAAGCAUAUUGUAGAGCUUUCUUCUCAGCUUCAACAGGAAAAAGCAAAUGCACUAAAAGCAGAUCACCUAUCAAAGUCAGUAGAAGCUGUACAAGCCCAUCUGCAAUGCCAGAUUCAAAAAAAGGAGGCUGAGAAUGAUCAGUUGAAAGCAAAAAUACAGGUUACAAAUAUUUUUCCUUUGGGUUUACUUUUAGUUCAUUGGUAAAUUAAUAAAAGUAUAUUAGGGCC